AUUGAACGCUGGCGGCAGGCCUAACACAUGCAAGUCGAACGAGUGGCGGACGGGUGAGUAAUGUCUGGGAAACUGCCCGAUGGAGGGGGAUAACUACUGGAAACGGUAGCUAAUACCGCAUACAAUCGGAUGUGCCCAGAUGGGAUUAGCUAGUAGGUGGGGUAACGGCUCACCUAGGCGACAAUCCCUAGCUGGUCUGAGAGGGUGACCAUCCCCACUGUAACUGAAGCACGGUCCCGACUCCUACGGGAGGCAGCAGUGGGGAAUAUUGCACAAAGGGCGCAAGCCUGGUGCAGCCAUGCCGCGUGUAUGAAGAAGGCCCUCGGGGUGUAAAGUACUUUCAGCGAGGAGGCGUUACUCGCAGAAGAAGCACCGGCUAACUCAGUGCCAGCAGCCGCGGUAAUUC
rnacentral:rRNA from 1 species